rnacentral:rRNA from 1 species
UACGUAGGGGGCUAGCGUUGUCCGGAAUCAUUGGGCGUAAAGAGCGCGUAGGCGGCCAGAUAAGUCCGGUGUGAAAGUCGGGGGCUCAACCCUCGAAUGCCGGUGGAUACUGUCGGGCUAGAGUGCGGAAGAGGCGAGUGGAAUUCCUGGUGUAGCGGUGAAAUGCGCAGAUAUCAGGAGGAACACCGAUUGCGAAGGCAGCUCGCUGGGACGUCACUGACGCUGAGACGCGAAAGCGUGGGGAUCAAACAGG